CGUAGGCGGCUUAGUAAGUCGGAUGUGAAAGCCCCGGGCUUAACCUGGGAAUUGCAUUCGAUACUGCUGGGCUAGAGUAUGGAAGAGGGAAGUGGAAUUCCGGGUGUAGCGGUGAAAUGCGUAGAUAUCCGGAGGAACACCAGUGGCGAAGGCGACUUCCUGGGCCAAUACUGACGCUGAGGUGCGAAAGCGUGGGGAGCAAACA
rnacentral:rRNA from 1 species